ACUCCUACGGGAGGCAGCAGUGGGAAUAUUGGACAAUGGGCGGAAGCCUGAUCCAGCAACGCCGCGUGAGGGAUGACGGCCUUCGGGUUGUAAACCUCUUUCACCGAUGGCGAAGCCGUCCCUUUUUUGGGGGUGGUGUACGGUAGUCGGAGAAGAAGCACCGGCCAACUACGUGCCAGCAGCCGCGGUAAUACGUAGGGUGCGAGCGUUGUCCGGGAAUUAUUGGGCGUAAAGGGCUCGUAGGCGGUCUGUUGCGUCGGGAGUGAAAACACCGGGCUUUAACUCGGUGCUUGCUUUCGAUACGGGCAGACUGGAGGCAUGCAGGGGAGAAUGG
rnacentral:rRNA from 1 species